AUUGAACGCUAGCGGGAUGCCUUACACAUGCAAGUCGAACGGAGUGGCGAACGGGUGAGUAAUGUAUCGGAACGUGCCCAGUAGCGGGGGAUAACUACGCGAAAGCGUAGCUAAUACCGCAUACUAUUGGAGCGGCCGAUAUCGGAUUAGCGAGUUGGUGGGUUAACGGCUCACCAAGGCGACGAGCCGUAGCUGGUUUGGGCGGACGACCAGCCACAUGUGACCUGAGACACGGACCAGACUCCUACGGGAGGCAUAAGUGGGGAAUGUUGGACAAUGGGGGAAACCAUGAUCCAGCCAUCCCGCGUGUGCGAUGAAGGCCUUCGGGUUUUAAAGCACUUUUGGCAGGAAAGCGGUACCUGCAGAAUAAGCACCGGCUAACUACGUGCCAGCAGCCGCGGUAAUAC
rnacentral:rRNA from 1 species